rnacentral:rRNA from 1 species
UACAGAGGUCUCAAGCGUUGUUCGGAUUCAUUGGGCGUAAAGGGUGCGUAGGUGGCGGGGUUAGUCAGGUGUGAAAUCCCGGGGCUCAACCCCGGAACUGCAUUCGAUACUGCCUUGCUCGAGUACUGGAGAGGAGACUGGAAUUUACGGUGUAGCAGUGAAAUGCGUAGAUAUCGUAAGGAAGACCAGUGGCGAAGGCGAGUCUCUGGACAGUUACUGACGCUGAGGCACGAAGGCCAGGGGAGCAAACGGG